AGGGGACGUGGGUUCGUGCCCCGGUCUGGGAAGAUCCCACAUGCCGCGGAGCGGCUGGGCCCGUGAGCCAUGGCCACUGAGCCUGCGCAUCCGGAGACUGUGCUCCGCAACGGGAGAGGCCACAGCAGUGAGAGGCCCGCGUACCGCAAAUAAAUAAAUAAAUAAAAUAACUAACUAACUAAAUAAAAAUGUCUGAUUUCUCACAAGGAAAAUAUUUUUUCUAUUUCUUUAAUUUGUUGUUAUAUCUAUGGAUGAUGGAUGUUCACUAAACCUAUUGUGAUAAUCAUUUCAUUAUGUAUGUAAGUCAAACCAUUAUGCUGUACUCCUUAAACUUAUACAUCGCUGUUAUGUCAAUUACAUCUCAAUGAAACUGGAAGGACAAAAAAGAAUGAUUGAUUUCUCAAUCUUGUGAGGUCAUUUCCUGGCUUUGAUUUUUUUUUUUUUUUCAGAGCAGUCCAUAUGGAGGUGGAAGGGAGAUGAAUUUAUCUGUCAGCUGCCAUCUUGCCUUAGUCAAAGACUCACCCAUGGGGCAUUAAUUGCCUCACAUAUGUGGGAGCUGAGGAAGUCUGCCUCAAAACGGAGGUCCUCAGGCAAAACCUGGAGGUUGGACAUGAGAGAUGUGGGAUGUGGGCACAAAGGAAGGCAGCUGGGUCACUACCCUGCAUAAAACUUCCUGUGUGCUCCAUCCUAUAAUUAACAUAAAGUCCAGUGAUGUACCUGGUCUGGUUCCUGCUCACCUCUCUGACUUUAUCUUACACCACUCACUCCCUCCACCACUGCAUUCUAGCCACACUGGCUUUCUUUGUGUUUUUUGUUUUGUUUUGUUUUUUUGCGGUGCGCGGACCUCUCACUGUUGUGGCCUCUCCCGUUGCGGAGCACAGGCUCCGGACGCGCAGGCUCAGUGGCCAUGGCUCACGGGACCAGCCGCUCCGCGGCAUGUGGGAUCCUCCCGGACCGGGGCACGAACCCGUGUCGCCUGCAUCGGCAGGCGGACUCUCAACCACUGCGCCACCAGGGAAGCCCCUGGCUUUCUUUCUGUCCCAAGUUUUCAGGAUUUUGCCCUUGCUGUUCCCUCUGCCCAGAGUGCUCGUCUCCCUGAUCUAUGCUGGCUAGUUCUUUUAAAGAGUUCACUCAAUCCAGUGUAGCCCACCAAUUUCUGUCCCACCACUCUACUUCUAAUUCUGUUUUUGCUUGUGUAUGAUCUUUCCCUGGUCCUGCGCUAGGGUUUGAGCUCCAUGAGAGCAGAGAACUUGUCAUUCUUUUUCACUCUUGUAUUUACUGCACCUGGACUAGUGCUUGGUGCAAAGUAGGCACUAAAUAAAUAUUUCUUGAAUGAAUGCUUGGAUAGUGAUACUAGUAAUGGAAGCAUUUAUGACUAAACCAAGACUUCCUCUUUAUAAAUACAAAAUACCUAAGAGAUAUUUGUCAGAUAAUUUUUAAAAAUGGUAUCCUGUUUUCCCAUUUGACUGAAGAAAAACAUAGAGGCUGUUUCUAGAGGACUAAAAGUUGGGGCAGCUAACUGCCAGAAACUUCAUGGCUAAUUUCCUAUUGACCAUGCUGAAGUUCAUUCAUAUGUGUAUCAUAGAGAUGACCAGAGCCUCUAAUAGGCAAAAAGAAAGCCUUCCAAGCCCUAUCCUGUGCCAGUGAAGCUAUUCUGUCAUGUAGAAAGCACAUAACAUGAGACUUAUUUUAGAACCUUUGUAUUACUAGUAUUGUCUGCAGUCUCCAGAGGAAUCUUCACAUCACUCUUUGGUGUUACAUCUGGAAUGGUCCUUGGAAAUCAUCUAGUUUAGUCUUCUCAUUUUAUAGAUGAGGAAAGUAAGGUCCAGAGAGGGAAAGGGACUAGCCCAAGAUCAUUCUGUUAGUUAGAGGAAGAGCCAGGACCAGAAUUCAGAUCUCCUGACAAAGAGUUGAGGAUUUUACAAGGUACUGUGACAAAUUCUCCCUUAUUCCUCUGCUUCCCUAAAACAAAAACAAAAACAAAAACAAAAAACUCAAAGGAUUUGCCUUAAACAAUGUGCUUGUGAGUCCUGAUGGGAUCACCAUGGGUCUCUGGAUCCUGGCAGUGGUGGUAAUGAUGAAGUGCUGAUCUUCCUUUCUUAUUUUGCUUGGAAUAUUUUUUGAAUUAUCAUCAAACAUUACCCAUCAAGGGAAGUAAUUGUGUUUUCAUUUAGGGCUCCAGUGAGACCUACAUAAAAAGUCACAGGAACAUUUCCAUUGCAACUAGGUAACAAACGGUCUAUUGAAAUUCACUAGAAAUAAAUUACUGUGGACAUGUUUUCUCCCAGUGACAGUUUUCUCCUAAGGAAUCAGUAGACAUGCCUGUCUUUUCCCUUUUGCUUUACAGGUGAAGGUUUGCAGAAUUUCAGAAACUUUAUCCAGGUCUCAGAAAACCAGAACCAUUUUUCUUUGUACUAUGAUGCUGUAGUUAAAAUUUAGAACUAUCAGGAAAGGACUCCAACUAAUUUGGAAAAUCUGGGGGGAAAAAAACCCCUGAAUGUUUACCUCGGCUGAAAGCAAUUUGAGUCUAUAGUCCCUUUUCUGUAAGACUUCUUUCCCUGUCUUCCUGCCUUCAGAGAUGGGAGGUAGGUAACAUUUCCAAUUUGCAGAGUUUUCUAUCCACGUUUGUUUUCUCUAGAUAAUUCUCAGGAUGAUUAUGAGGAUUUAGUUGUUGCGGGGUGGUGCACACCUAUGUGCAGUUUGAAUAACUUAGUCCUGUGCAUUUCUGGCUGAGCAUGUGACCAAGAAGUUCUGGACCAGUGCUUUAUGGUUGGAGCCCCUUGCUGGCCCUGCUCGGUCCCUGAAGAGGCAAUUGCACAACUUGCUGCAGAUCUCUUGUAGCCCUAUCUUUGUGCCUCCGAUCCCUCUUCGGUAAAAUGUUCUCAGCGCACAAAAGCGGCGGCUGAAGGGAACAGCUCUGGGCACAGAGGGAGGAGGGAGCUGGCCAGCUGAAGCGGCGCUGCACCGUCUCCAGUGGAAACGGACGCUGCUAACCCUGCCUAGGAAACUAAUGGAGCGUCCCUAAGAAACCCAAACUCCAGCUUGGCUCACCCCAGCUAUCUCCCCCACCUCCAGACCCCCAGGUGAGACUAAAUCCAACCAACCAACCCCGCGGCCGGCAGUCCAAUCAGCCUGCCUGUAGAAGGCGGGCUUGCAGCAUGCUUUCUCAUCCUUGAAUUCGACCUGAAUCUUAGCAUGUUUUGUUUUCUGCAAAGAAAGGCCGUCACCCCCGCUUUCCUUUGUUUUCCAGCAAUUUCUUGUCUUGUAGUAACUUAAAACAUUUCCUCUGGGGAUGGGGUGAAAAAAACUGGAUAUAAGUGUUUAUAGUGCAAAGUCCUCGGGCUUAUUUAGUGUGUGAGACAUCAGAGAUGCCUGCUAACUAACCGGGUUACCCACACGAGGCUUCCAACUGCCUCCCGAGAACGAUGGCCGAAAGGCAAGGGUACGAGUGUGAUGCUGCCAUUUGCGGGCAUCCGUGUCAGCAUUUAUAUUUAAAUAUAUUUCCCUGUAAGAAUUUUAAUUGGAGAUUUCGGCUCGAGGUGCUCCAAUAAAACAGAGAAGGAGCCAAACCGAGUUAGUUCGCUUCAUAACCAAGCUUUAUUUCGAGGCUUUCUUUCCCCUGCGGUUCUUGCCCCGAAGCGAUCUGUAAAGCGAACCCACUCUGAUACAGUUUGAAAAGUGCAUUUUGUACUUGGCUCUUUCUUUGAUCGAAUUAAUCUGGGCUUUUUUGUAGUUCUAAAUGAGGCCUAUGGGCUGACAAUGUAGCUGUUUAAAGGGGAUUUUAGGGGAUAAUAAUAGCCAAUGCAAAUAGUGCCAUGAGAAUGGCAACUUGCUUUUGCACUUUCAAUCACAUAAUAACUGCAAAGAAAGCUUUUAAAAUGAAUUGAAAUUUUGUGGCAUGCCAUCUGGGAUUAUUUGGGGAAACAGUUCUGAAUACUUCAGUUGGGCGAAAGAAUGGUGGUACGUCUGCUCUUAAGCUGACAUGUUUCAGAUGGCAACCUUAUGCUAACUGGUGCAAAGUUGGCUAGCAUUAUUUUUUUUAAUUUUAUUAUUUUCUUUCUUUCGGAUUAUCUGCAAAAAUUCUCUUUGAUUGCUGGUAUUUGGGUCUGAAAAACUUUUCCAUUGUUGAAGAGUUCAAUUCAACCCCUUGCAGCUGCUGAUCCCUUCAUUGUUCCUCUCGUUAUGUGUACGCGUCUCAGAUGAAUGUAGCCAAGCCUUUUAGUGCCUUAAUGGGUGUCUACAUAAAGGUCAUUUUUUCUGCGGCACUUGUUUUAACAAAAGUUUAUACACAAACAACAACCACAGCUAAAACAUUCACAUUAAUCAAUUUCCUCCUGAUUGCAAAAUGCAAAAACUGCCUUAGGCCAGAGCCCGGGCAUGAAAAAUGUUUUCUGUGUAAGAUGUUUUCUGUGUAUGAUGUCAUAAAGCAGAAAAUAGUUUAAGCAGUUUCAUCAAGGGCAAAAGCAGGACAAAACAUCAUUGUGGCAACACAGUUUCUGAGAUCUCCCCUUCUGGUGUUUCUGUGUCUAUGUAGUUAUGUCAGGUUACUUCGAGGGCAGAGAGGCUCUUAGGAUGGAGUGAGUUGAGGUUUUAGCUCUGCCUUUGAUGUUCACCCUGGUUUGGAAGCUGUUCUCUGUGAACUUCUGGUGGGUGUCAGGUAUUGCCUCUGUGGGAAAGUGUAGGUGUUAAUCAGAAUCUGGAGAAAACUGCAUAAACUGUAUCUAUAGUUUGCAAAAAAUAAAUCAUUUCCUUGCUGGUAUAAAAUUCCCCCCCCCCCCGUUAUACAAAAGAAAAGAUGACCACAGCCAUCCCUUUCCACCUGCAAACCCCACAGAAGGCUGCUUUUAGGAUGAAGUAAAUGAUGAAAAUAACAGCCACCAGUCGUAAACGCUGGUAAGGAUGCUGCCAUGCUAACUAAACUGCUAGAUGCGCAGACAGACAAGCAAGGGUUUCUAAGGGAUCUUGGUGCUUAUCUUUGGUGCUGUGAGGGGACUGCCCAGCACGGUGGACGUCAUGUGGGAAUUAGAGAACUCUGGCCACGUGGGGGAGGAAGCGAGGAGCCCCACCCACCCCGCCUCCCUGAGCAAACCCUGAAGUGUUUGCCUCAGCCUCUGCUGCCGUAAUUCAGAGAUGUGACCACAUUCCUCAGUCCAUCUCAGGAUGAUACCCAGUACCUGUUCAUGGCUCUGCCUUCAUCCAGAUCCUUCAGGAAGUAAAAAUAAACACACUAUAGGGUGUCCAUAGGUUAUUCUCCUUUGCUGUAUCGGUUUGCCUGCUCAUUGAUCUUUUUAGCUCAAGACUUACACUUGCGAAGUUAAGGAUUCAAGUCCUUAGAUUCUUUGGAGGUUUUAUGAAGGUCAAAAAGCUCUGUGACUUGGUCUCUGGGUGUGGCUCCACUGCUCCCCCCAGCCUCAUCUGAGGGUCUCUUCCCUUCCCCGUAUACAUCUCCUGGACUGAGGACCUUCCCAGUGGAGCCAGCUGGUUCUCUCAGCCAUUUGGGUUAGAUGGGUACUUCUCAAACUUUAAAGAGCAUGUGAAUGACCUGAAAUAUUGUUAAAAUGCACAUUCUGAUUCUGUUGUUUUGGGAUGGGGCCUGAAAAUCAGCAUUCCUGCUGAUGCUGAUGCUGCCAGGGGCUCGAGAUUCUAACUUACCCAGAGAUGAGAUGUAGCUCUCACUGUCCGAGAGCCAAAGUAUCUAUCUGUAAAAUGAUGGUAAUAAAAAUGGCCAUUGGGGGCUUCCCUGGUGGCGCAGUGGUUGAGAGUCCGCCUGCCGAUGUAGGGGACACGGGUUCGUGCCCCGGUCCGGGAAGAUCCCACAUGCCACGGAGCGGCUGGGCCCGUGAACCAUGGCCGCUGAGCCUGCGCGUCUGGAGCCUGUGCUCCGCAGCGGGAGAGGCCACAACAGUGAGAGGCCUGUGUACCGCAAAAAAAAAAGAAAAAAUGGCCAUUGAUGCAAUCUUGGAUUUCUUGACUUUUCAACAAUAGCUUUUGGGAGAUUGGGAAGGGUUUGGGGACAGACUGGUUAUAGGGAGGCUUAUCUUGCAGUUUAUCUUGUACCUCAUUUGAUUCUUUGGUUCCAAGUAGGAAAGACAAAGUAAGUGAUAUUUGGUCCCAAUCUAUGAUCACUUCUAUUUUAGUCACUCAUUUUAAAAAUUACCAAAUAUAUAUCAGAUGCCUACUAUAUGCAGGCAUCAUGCUAGAUGCUGUGGGUACAGUGCUGGCAAACAGAUUCCAUCCCUGUCCUCAAGUGGUUUAUACUCUUAGAGUCUCCAGCAGGCAGCCUCAACCUUGGCUGCACACUGGAAUCACCUGGGGAGUUUUUAUAACUAAUCGAUGCCUGAGCCCCACUCCCAGAGAGUCACAUUUAAUUGGUUUGGGAUGGGGCCUAGUCAUCACUAUUUUUGAAGAGCUCCUGAGGGGAAUCUAUUGUGCAGCCAGGACUGAGGACUCCUGGCCCAAAGGGUUGAACUAGAUGAAGAAGGAUGUGGGUGGGCAUUGUGAGAAUUGCUGCCUCAGUACAGACUCCAGAGUCAGGGGAGGACAGUGGGAUGACCAUGCAGGUGGAGCUCUCUUUCCCCGUUAGCCUGCCUUUCUAGAGCAUCAUGCUCAUCGUAGUGAGAGAGGAAACGGCAAACGUACCAUGUGUGCACAUCACGACUUUGUAGCAUCACAGCUACUUAUGUGUCAAUGACUUCACGUCCUGACUGUAAGUCAUAGGAUGUGGUGUCUCCCUGGCACUAGCCCUGCUACCAUUCAGCCGAGGCUACUUUGGUCCAAAAGAGGGACAGAAUUCCAUUGGUUUUAGUUAUGGUGACCAACUGUCCUGGUUUGUCUGGGACUGAGGGGAUUCCCAGGAUGCGGGACUUUCAAAGCUAAAACCAGGAAAGUCCCAGGCCACCCUGGACGUGUUGGUUACCAUAGUUCUAGUGCAAUGGCUCCUGCUGUGGGGUUCUCUAGCUUGACACAAAAAAGCAUGAUUCAUAAAAGAAAAAAUUGAGAAAUUGGACCUCACCACAUUGAAAACUUUUGCUUCUUGAAAGACUAUGUGAAGAGGAUGAAAAGGUAAGUACAGACUGGGAGAAAAUAUUUGCAAACCAUAUAUCUGAUAAAGGACUAGUAUCUAGAAUAUAUAAAGAAUUUUUAGAGCGCAACAGUAAAGACUAAACAGUGCAACUAGGAAAUGGGCAAAAGAUAUGAACAGGCAUUUCACUAAAGAGGAUAUACAGAUGGCAAAUAAGCCCAUGGAAAAUGUUCAGUAGCCAUUAGAGAUAUGCAAAUUAAAACCACGAUAAGAUAUUACUACAUGCCUGUCAGAAUGGCUACAAUGAAAAAUAAUGACAUUUCCAAAUGCUGGUGAGGAUGUAGAUAAAAUGGAUCAGCCUUACACUGACAACGGGAAUGUGAAAUGUUCCAGCCACCCUGGAAGACAGUUUAGCAGCUUCUUAUAAACCUAAACAUGCAACUACCAUACACCCAAGCAGUUGUACUCUUGGACAUUUAUCUCGGAGAAAUGAAACUUUAUCUUCACAGAAAAACCUGAAAGUGAAUAUUCAUAACAGCUUUACUUGCAAUAGCUAAAAAUUGGAAACAACCUAGGUAUCCUUCAACAAGUAAAUGGUUAACCGAUGAUUGUAUUUCAGUAGAUAAAAUCUUUUAAGACAUGUUUGUGGGGAAAGAAAAUAAAAGGAGUUCUUAGAGGUGAAAAUGUUGGGAGCUACUUUUUCAGUGCUGACUAGGUCCGGAUGUUUGAUUUUGGGAUGCUACAUUCAGAGAGUAAUUGGUCUGUGUGGUGUGAUGCGGAGCUGGGUAAAUAAUGCAUUCUCACAGAAAAAGAGGAAAUGAUGAAGUCCUCAUUGCCCAGAGUCCAAGCAACUGGAAAAUAAAAAAAGUAGAAAGACACAGAAGUGGUGAGUAAAUAUACUCAUCUCAAGGAUAUUUAGUAAAAAAAAAAAAAAAAAAAAA